AGAGUUUGAUCCUGGCUCAGGAUGAACGCUGGCGGCGUGCUUAACACAUGCAAGUCGAACGAUGAAGCCUUUCGGGGUGGAUUAGUGGCGAACGGGUGAGUAACACGUGGGCAAUCUGCCCUGCACUCUGGGACAAGCCCUGGAAACGGGGUCUAAUACCGGAUGACACCCCCUCUCGCAUGGGAGGGGGUUGAAAGCUCCGGCGGUGCAGGAUGAGCCCGCGGCCUAUCAGCUUGUUGGUGAGGUAGAAGCUCACCAAGGCGACGACGGGUAGCCGGCCUGAGAGGGCGACCGGCCACACUGGGACUGAGACACGGCCCAGACUCCUACGGGAGGCAGCAGUGGGGAAUAUUGCACAAUGGGCGAAAGCCUGAUGCAGCGACGCCGCGUGAGGGAUGACGGCCUUCGGGUUGUAAACCUCUUUCAGCAGGGAAGAAGCGAAAGUGACGGUACCUGCAGAAGAAGCGCCGGCUAACUACGUGCCAGCAGCCGCGGUAAUACGUAGGGCGCAAGCGUUGUCCGGAAUUAUUGGGCGUAAAGAGCUCGUAGGCGGCUUGUCACGUCGGUUGUGAAAGCCCGGGGCUUAACCCCGGGUCUGCAGUCGAUACGGGCAGGCUAGAGUGUGGUAGGGGAGAUCGGAAUUCCUGGUGUAGCGGUGAAAUGCGCAGAUAUCAGGAGGAACACCGGUGGCGAAGGCGGAUCUCUGGGCCAUUACUGACGCUGAGGAGCGAAAGCGUGGGGAGCGAACAGGAUUAGAUACCCUGGUAGUCCACGCCGUAAACGGUGGGAACUAGGUGUUGGCGACAUUCCACGUCGUCGGUGCCGCAGCUAACGCAUUAAGUUCCCCGCCUGGGGAGUACGGCCGCAAGGCUAAAACUCAAAGGAAUUGACGG
rnacentral:rRNA from 1 species